AUUUUAGCUGGAACCUAAAGGAUGCCAGGGAUUCAAGAAGUGAAGAUGAGGAGGUGGAGAAUUCCAGGCGUGGGGGACAGCCAGUAAAAAUGCCAGUAAUCUGGAGAUCGAAUAUCUUAUUUGAAGAACAGCAAGUGUCACGAUUGAAUUUUGACAAAUGGGUAAACUGAGGCAGAUCUCAGAACAAUAUAACAUUAAUUAGCAAGGACAUGUUACCUGUCAACAAAUGGGUCAGUGGCUUACCUCCAUUAAUGCCAAAGAUCCCAAGCAAAAAGACAAUUCCCCUUAGAUAGGUUUUGGGGAGUACAGAACAAAGAACAGAGCAGGGUAAAUGACAUCAUAGGAUUAUGGGCAACAUGCUUGGUUGGAAUUUGGUUAAGGGGGCUAGCAAUGAUACCUCCUCCCUUCUUUUCUCAUGAGACUAAAGGUGAUCUUUGUUUGAGUUCAGGUGCAAGAUGGUGGUCCAGACUUUUGGAUAACAAAACAGAUAUCUUUGAAGGAUAUUGUAGUGGAAUAAAGAUAUCAGGCCCAAACUCCGUUGUUUUCUCAGAGUUCACCAAGGUCAGUUAAAUUCCUUGAGGCAGGAGAGCUAGAGUUUAAAAUUUAACCCAUUAAAGGCCGGCUGAACUCUGAACUGAGUUCAGAGACAAAGAACCACGACUUAAGCAGUUACAGGGCAAAAUAAAUUACUUGUAAAAGGAUCAACAAGAAGAUGAUACAGGAUCAAUCUUUGUCUUCUCAUGAGGAAGCCAGUGUCACUGGAUCAAAGGACUGACAUUCCAGCUCUGGGUAUGCCCACAAUUUAUGAGACUAAUUGGUUCUCAAUUAAAUUGUUGAUCUGGUGCUUGAGCAUUAUUCCUCCUGUUUGCAUUUCAUGAACCAAGUGGUAUCUUAAAUUGGGCCAAGUAUAGCUGUCAUUCUGCUAAGAAAAAGUUAUAAUGAGUGCAAAACGACACCUAGAGAUUAUGAAGCUGAAACUGAAGGAAAUGAUAUGAUUACUCUAAAUGAUCAUACAACUAAUAAGCAGAAGAACCAGGGCCAGAACCCAGUUCUCCCAAUUCCUUGUCAAUAAUCUUAGAUGGGUCGGAUCAAGGAUGAACGAAGUAUGGGGUAUGCCAAUGGGGAGAACAAGUUGUUCAGGAGGAAGUGUGUGUGGUUAGUCAGCCAUGUGGACUCUAAGCAACAGUGGAACUAAGAGUCCCAUCUUAGCACAGGAGAACUGCUGUUCUAGACCUGAUUGAGUUGGUGAAGAAGAAAUGAUGGAUCCCCUGGAAGUCAGUGAUCAUGAUACCUUGGAUUUUGUGAGAAAUAUAGAAGAAAACACUGGGAACCAACUGAUAUGUAUUUUGAACAUUAAGAGAAAGGAUUUCAAAGAGAAUUCAAAGAAAGAAAAAAAGAAAAGCUAGAUGAAUAAAUUAUUGAAUUAUUGAAAAAAAAAGAAGAAGAAUGGCAUGGUCUUCUACUAGCAGCAGGAGCACUGAAAUCUGAGCUGAGACUUUCAACAAAUACUUUCAACAAAGAGAAUCAGUCCCAGUUCUUGAUGUGUCUACCUCCCCUGCUACCAAAGAUCUUCAUGCAGUACAUGAAGGCUGGACAUCCAUUUGUCAGAGAUAUUGCAGACGGAAUUCACGAUUUGGGAAGGGACUGGAUUAUAUAACUUCUGAGGCCCCUUUUAACUUGUAGUUCUGAAAUUCCAUGAUGGGGGGUGGGGGCAUUACAUAAGUGGAUUCCUGGCCAGUCACUCCCUGAACACAAUGCCAGUACAAGAACUCCAAGUGCAGAAGGGGGAGAUAGGCAGUUUGGGUCAUCCUUUGAGCAGUGGUGGGAACAUCCCAACCUGAUCCCACCUGGUACUGAGAUUGGAAUCACGAGUUCUAAUGGAAGAGACUGCUGGGUGCCCACUUCCUCUGUGUAGCCUUUGUAAAAGUUAAAGUACCAUGUGAACUGUAAAAUUGAGCUGUGUUGAUUAUAAUGUAAGCUGAGCUUUUUAGAGACAACAGGCAAGGGAAAGGGGGUAGUGUGAGCAGAAUUGUAGGGGACAUGGUUAGGCUUGAUAGGGAAAUAGGGUUUCUUUCUUCCCUUACUUCAGACCAUAGGCAGAAUGAAAACCUAGAUACUAAUCUGAGUCUUGACAUGUAUCUGGGAAAGUCAUUAAUGUUUGAUUUCGUUUCCUCCUUUACAUAAUGUAGGAAACACAUUUGGUCCUGUCCCUACUAAGAAGAAAACAUUAGUAUUCAAACAAAAUACGCUGGAUUCAUAUUUUUCCGUCCUUCCUGGUAUUAUUUAGACUUUUAGCAUAAUCAGGUUACCUCAGAGAUAAACAAAUGAACAACUGGUCUUAGUACAGGUCUGCUUCCACAGAGCUGGAGAAGCAUAAGAACUGUUUUAUCCUUUGACACUCUGUGAAAUUCAAUUCUACAUAAAAUAGAGUUGACUGGGUAGUUUAUCAUUAUCACUAAAUGUCUGUGUAUAUUUUGCAUUUACUUCUCUGCAUUGUUUUCCUUGAGUGGACUUGAGGAGAGGAAUGGUUUUGUUUUUAUGUCUU